UCUAUUUUUUUCAUUUAUUUUUUAAAAAAUGAUGUUCUGCCAUUUUGGCUACAAGAGUUGUUGCUGAUUUUUGAUAACAAUAUUAUUCACAGAGCAGUGUUAAAGAAUAAAUGUUACAUUUUUAUCUACUUUUCCCCUUUUUUCUAAUUUUUUGUGGUAUGAUUUUGUGUUGUUUGAUUUUUGGGACUGCCUAACGAAGGGGUUGAUUAUGUUCAAGAAUAAAGGUGUCAUUUUUAUAUUUUCUCCCUUUUUUAUUAAACUAUUUUUUGUCAUUUUUGCUGGAAGAGUUAUUGUUGAUUUAUUUUUGCUACUAAAGUGAUAAUGGCGAUGCUAAAGACUUUUUCAAGGCAGAGUUGCUAUAUUUUUAUGGUAUUUCCAUUUUUAUGGUAUCUGAUUUUUGUGGUAUUUUGUUAAAUCAUUGUCAUCAAAGUUGAUACUUUUCCUUCGGAAUACUAAUAUCUAUUAUAUAUUUCAUUUGUUUUGUUUAGAUGAUGUGAACAAUCUGCAGAAUUGCAACUAUGGGGAUGGUGAAGCUGCAACCGAGGAGGUGAAAAAUAGGCUGAUGAUGACCCCAUUUUGAUUGAUGGAGAAAUUUUUAUGUUACUUUGUUUUGACAGCUUAAAGUUGUAAUUUAAUCAUUAUGGUUUUCAGAUAAUUCAUUUUAUUGUUUACAAUUUGCUGAAAAAAAGUAAAUUAAAAACACAUUUUUUAUAUUA